rnacentral:rRNA from 1 species
UACGGAGGAUCCAAGCGUUAUCCGGAUUCAUUGGGUUUAAAGGGUGCGUAGGCGGACUGAUAAGUCAGCGGUGAAAUCUCUCGGCUUAACCGAGAAACUGCCGUUGAUACUGUCAGUCUUGAGUACAGAUGAUGUGGGCGGAAUAUGACAUGUAGUGGUGAAAUACUUAGAUAUGUCAUAGAACACCUAUUGCGAAGGCAGCUAACUACGCGAAUAUUGACGCUGAGGCACGAAAGCGUGGGGAUCAAACAGG